GCUACAUCAUGUUGAAGCACCUACUCCUAUAUGGAUCACUGAAGUUAAGCAAGGUCAAGCCUGGUCAGUACCUAGAUGGGUGACUUCUUGGGAAUACCAGGUGAUGUUA